rnacentral:rRNA from 1 species
UACGGAGGGAGCUAGCGUUGUUCGGAAUUACUGGGCGUAAAGCGCACGUAGGCGGCUUUGUAAGUUAGAGGUGAAAGCCCGGGGCUCAACUCCGGAACUGCCUUUAAGACUGCAUCGCUUGAAUCCGGGAGAGGUGAGUGGAAUCCCGAGUGUAGAGGUGAAAUUCGUAGAUAUUCGGAAGAACACCAGUGGCGAAGGCGGCUCACUGGACCGGUAUUGACGCUGAGGUGCGAAAGCGUGGGGAGCAAACAGG